ACGCUUCAUUCAAAUUUCUGCUUUAUCAAUUAACGUUGGUACGGUAUUGGCGUACCAUGGUUAUAACGAGUAAGGAAUUCUAUUACCUGUUUGAUCAUGACAGUUUUAUAUGCUUCUCUAAAAGAUUAAGCCAUGCAAAUGUAAGAAAGUACUACUUGAAUUAGUAAAUCGGUGAAAGGUUUUUUAUCAACGCUUCAUUCAAAUUUCUGCUUUAUCAAUUAACGUUGGUACGGUAUUGGCGUACCAUGGUUAUAACGAGUAAGGAAUUCUAUGGGAAUGAUUCCUGAGAUUUCGCCUGAGAAAUAGCGAAAAUAUCUAAGGAUAGCAGCAGGCGCGAAAAUUACCCAAUGCAAAAACUGCGAGGUAGUGACAAGAAAUAACGACAGGAUUAUUUCAGUUAUAAAAAUAACUGAAAACCUGAUUGCAAUGAGUACAAUUUAAAAAUAUUAAUUAGAAUCAAUUUGAGGGCAAGUUCUGGUGCCAGCAGCCGCGGUAAUUCCAGCUCAAAUAGUGUAUAUUAAAAUUGUUGUAAUUAAAAAGUUUGUAGUUUGAAGUUAUCACAAUUCAAUAAAAAUGGAUGGAAGUAACGAUUUAUUUCUGUCCAAUGAGUUGUGAUAUUAAGCGAACAAAGAAUCAUCUAUUCUCUGAAAGGAGGAUGGGUGAAAUCUAUUCUUUGUUCAUUUUACCAUAAAUAAAAUAGAGUGUUUAAAGCAUGUCAUUUAUUGACAAUUGAAUAAUUUAGUAUGGGAUAAUGAAAGACGAGAGAAAAAAGAGAGUACAUCUCGCAGCAUCAAGGAGAAUUCGUUCUUCUGUGGUGUUGGUCUUUUUUCUCUAAUGAUUAAUAGGGACAAUUGGGGCAAUUAGUAUUUCUACUCGAGCGGUGAAAUGCAUAGACAGUAGAAAGACUAACUAAUGCGAAAGCAUCUUGCAAGGGUGUUUUCAUUAAUCAAGAACGAAAGUUUGGGGAUCGAAGAUGAUCAGAUACCGUUGUAGUCCAAUUUUUUCUUUACAGUAAAAAAUGACAACAAAAGAUAGGGAAGAAUUGUAGAAUUACAAUUCUAAAUUGUUAAAAAUUUAAAGGUACUAAGAAAUGAGGAGUAGGGUUUUUUUACUCUACUUUCUCAUAAUAGUUGUCUUUCCCUGAAUUUUGUAAGAAAUUAAGAGUCUUUAGUCUUUGGGGGUAGUAUGCAUCGCAAGAUUGAAACUUAAAUGAAUUGACGGAAGAGCACCACCAGGUGUGGAAUAUGCGGUUUAAUUUGACUCAACACGGGGAAACUCACCAGGACAGGACAUAAUAAGGAUUGACAGAUUGAAAGCUCUUUCAUGAUUGUAUGGAAAGUGGUGCAUGGCCGAAGUUAGUUCGUGGUUUGAAUUGUCUGCUUAAUUGCGUUAACGAACGAGACCUUUUGAAAUAAAUAGCGGUCAUUAGUUCUUGCAAAAGAAUGGGGUCACCUAUAGAAGUAAUAAUUGGGUCAAACUAAUUAUCUUCUAUAUGUCGUUGAUCCUAUUUAUAGGACUAAUCUUGACCAUUCAUGAACAGAGGCGUCAAAAACCUCCUUCAUGAAUCUAAUCAAAAUAUGGCUUCUUAUUUCGACUAUUGAUGUCCAAUCAAUGUAAGUUAAAGUCAAUUUCAGGUCUGUGAUGCCCUUAGAUGCCCUGGGCGACACGCGUAUUACUAUAACAUAGAUAAAGGGUUUAUUAAAUUGUUGGGAAAGAGAAGGAGGAGUCAAAUCUUUCUUCUUUUUUCUGACAUUUAAAUUGCUUUCUAGAAAUGGAUGGCUAAUCCUUUAGGAAUCUAUUUUGUUUUACUUGGGAUAGAUGCUUGUAAUUUUUCAUCUUCAACUUGGAAUACCUAGUAAUCGUAGUUCAACAAACUACGAUGAUUACGUCCCUGCUCUUUGUACACACCGCCCGUCGCUUCUACCGAUUGAAUUGUCCGAUGAGCUGUAAGGAGAAUGAGGAUUGGGAUUUAUCUCAGUUUUUGUUCAAAUUACAUCAAAUCUUACAAUUUAGAGGAAGAAGAAGUCGUAACAAGGU
rnacentral:rRNA from 1 species